rnacentral:rRNA from 1 species
GACGAACGCUGGCGGCGUGCUUAACACAUGCAAGUCGAACGGUGAAAGCGGAGCUUGCUCCGCUGGAUCAGUGGCGAACGGGUGAGUAACACGUGGGCAACCUGCCCCUCACUUCGGGAUAACUCCGGGAAACCGGGGCUAAUACCGGAUAUGACCUCCUUGGGCAUCCUUGGAGGUGGAAAGUUUUUCGGUGAGGGAUGGGCCCGCGGCCUAUCAGCUUGUUGGUGAGGUAGUGGCUCACCAAGGCGACGACGGGUAGCCGGCCUGAGAGGGCGACCGGCCACACUGGGACUGAGACACGGCCCAGACUCCUACGGGAGGCAGCAGUGGGGAAUUUUGGACAAUGGGGGCAACCCUGAUCCAGCAAUGCCGCGUGAGUGAAGAAGGCCUUCGGGUUGUAAAGCUCUUUUGUCAGGGAAGAAACAGCAGCUCUAACACAGUUUGCGAAUGACGGUACCUGAAGAAUAAGCACCGGCUAAC